GACAGGAGGGUGCAAACGUUGUUCGGAAUUACUGGGCGUAAAGCGAGUGUAGGCGGUCUUGUAAGGUCGGAUGUGAAAGCCCCGGGCUCAACCCGGGAAGUGCACUUCGAUACUGCGAGGCUAGAGUGUCGGAGAGGUUGGUGGAAUUCUCGGUGUAGAGGUGAAAUUCGUAGAUAUCGAGAGGAACACCGGUGGCGAAGGCGGCCAACUGGACGAACACUGA
rnacentral:rRNA from 1 species